UACAGAGGGGGCAAGCGUUGUUCGGAAUUACUGGGCGUAAAGGGCGCGUAGGCGGCCUUCUAAGUCGAACGUGAAAUCCCUGGGCUCAACCCAGGAACUGCGUCCGAUACUGGAAGGCUUGAAUCCGGGAGAGGGAUGCAGAAUUCCAGGUGUAGCGGUGAAAUGCGUAGAUAUCUGGAGGAAUACCGGUGGCGAAGGCGGCAUCCUGGACCGGCAUUGACGCUGAGGAGCGAAAGCCAGGGGAGCAAACGGG
rnacentral:rRNA from 1 species